UUGAAAUGACUUUAGUUUUGUGUUAUGUCUGUGAUCUGCUUUUUUUCUACAAAAUUAAACAACUGAAUGAACAUCCUCCGAGGCCGGUGAUUCCAUAAUUUUUGCCAGGGGUUGUAAUUACAGCUUCUGAAAACAGGCUUGUGCAUCCUCCACCUCCAUUAAAUUAGAAAGGCACUCAAAAGGUGCCAACCUAGGCAGGGGCAGUAAUCCAUGCCUUUAAAUUUACAUUAAGGCAAACGGCAUCAAGGCCACAAUACUUAAACUUUGUACUGGUUUAAAAUGCAGUAAGUGCAACCAGUAUUUGUAAAGUGUGCGUUGAAUGCAGCUUUUGCGAAGUUUCAAUAACCAUACAAAAAAAAAAUUCUCCCAACAACUUACUGACAGUAAGCAUAAAAGUAGAAAUGAUCCUUUUAUAUCUAAUUAAGAAAUACAAAAUAUAGUUACCUCCAUUCAUGUUUGGCAUAUUUUAAAAUCUUUCCUCAUAAAUGAAGAAGCACUUUGAAUUUCCUUAUAACACAUUUUAAAAUUAAACACUUUGCUAAACUCAAUUUGUUUUGCUUUAAAACUUCUUUUCUCUAUUUUUUUUUUUUACAAUACACAAAUAUUUGAAAUUCAAAAUUGCACUGUUAAAAAAAAUGUAAAAUAUCCCAUUAUCCAAAACAAUUAAUUUCACAUUGUUCAUGUUUCAAUGUGCAUAUUUUGAUGGAUUAUCCUGACAGUUAUUUGUCUGUCAGUUACUUAAUCUUUGUAUUAUGAAGAGUGUAACAAUUUUAUUAUACUGCAUAUGCAGUGCAGGAAAAUGUAAGAGAUACGAUAUUAU